ACCGUUUGCCUAGAGCGUGAAACGGAGCGGGUCGCGCGCCCCGGCGCUCCGGACGGAAGGAGAAGGCAGCGUGGCGGCCCCACCCCGAGUCCCUGGCAGCCCAGACCUGGCGAAGGGUGAAGAAGCCUGGCUCCAGAACUAGGUGGUCAGGGGGUCAGGUAGUAGGAAGCCACGGAGCCGGCUCUCCCGGGUGCCUCGCGCCUCCCGGCGCCGCCCAGCGCCCUCUGCCCUGGACCUGCAGACUCGACGUCUGGGUGGGGGCAAGAGUGUUCCGAUGGCGCCUCGGCUCGCGCUUAGCGAUCCUGCGCUCGCUCACUCUGCAGCGCCAGCCUCGGGAUUAGGGGAGAGGAGUGUAGUGCGGAGCUGUAUGCAGAAGAGCGUGCGGCCAGCGGAGACCGCAGUCUCGCCGCAUGGGAGCCUCGCAAGUGGCUCUGGAGUUGAGUCCUGAUUCCAGAAGAGCUCCAGGGAGGGAGGGGAAGGAGGGAGAAAAAAAGGGAGGGAGGGAGGGAGUGGGGGGAGGACGGGAUUAACCCGUUAUAAUAGCUAAUAUUUAUAUAACACUGUGGGGCAGGUGGUAUUGUGAGUGCUUUCACAUAUUCAUUCAGUCUUUAUCACAACCCCAGGAAGCGGGUACUAUUAUUACUGUCACUUUACAGAUGAGGCAACUAAGGCAGAGAGAGGUUAAGUAACUUGCCGAGGUCACACAGCUAAGAAGUGACAGUGAGGAUUUGCACCCAGUCCAUCAACUCUAGGCCCUGUGCUUUUCAACAGUCAGGGAACGCGGCAGGAGGGCACUGAGUCCUCUAAACGGCCUUAGUCAUGGGAAGCAGAGAUGAGUUUGCUCUGUAGAUAAUUCGGUAUGCUCUGGACACCUCAGAUUAUGGGGAGAAUGACAGUUGGGAGUAGGUUACAUAUUUUUGAGAAUUUGUGAGAUUAUGUCUAAGUCAUAGCAGAAG
rnacentral:lncRNA from 1 species